UCACAUGAAGCCACGUCACCACAAAUUCCAGAACCGUUAGAUUUGAUCUCAACGUUUGCAAACUCCCUCAGCUCUCCGUUACAUAGCUCGGUUGCAGCAGCUGAGGCCCAACCCAGCUUAAGCGAUUGAUCCAGCCCAUCCAGUCUCCUCACUUCCUUCUCCUCUUGCGGCAUGCGAGUGGUCGAUGUGAACUCCGAUCACCACGAGUAACCAUCGACGGCGGCAAGAACAAUUACUUCUGAAAACCGAUGCCACCAUGAUAGGCAGACAGAUGGUCAUUCUUAAUGGCUCUAAUGCCUUUUGUUCUCUUCUUAUCCCCUCUUUCCAUUUACUUAUAAAUUCAUAAAAUCAUAAUCAUUAUCAAGCGGGAUAGUUAAUCUAUCAGGCCGAUGGUGUUUCGCUCAAGUUGCUGGAGCUUGCUCGCUGGAAAAAUAUGCAUCACUGCACCAUCCUCUUCAAUUUUCUCCAACGAUCUAGCACAGAUCAAUUUUCAUUAUUCCAGUUGAAGGAUACGGCCAACAAUAUCACGUAGAUCAAUUGGUUGAUUUGUCAUCUACAUAUUCAGAUCUAAGAAGAAUAUAACUCACCAAGUUUGCAAGUUGAGUAACACUUUCAAAUUGGAUGGGUAUGUUCACCCAAUUAUGUUUUCUAAUUUGUAUUUCAGUUCUGAUCUUUACCUGGUGAGGAUAUCUUCAAUCUUAGAAAUAGAUUGGAUUGGCUUCUGUCUCAAAUAUAUAUGUCAAUUCAUUUCGCUGUCAGAGCAUCGAGCUGCUCCCAUUAAGGCCGUGUGAAAUAUGUGAAUGGAUAUGAAAUAUGUGAUCAAAAUGAAUGUUAUGUGAAUAUGGUUGUGUUAAAUA